CUAAGUGAAAAGUGAUGUUGGUAGCCCCCAGGUUUCAUUACUUGAUACAUAGUUUGUCUUCUUAGGUUAUCUUGUCUCUCUUCUCUCUUCCCCUCCAUUUUUAUCUGGAUCCACAAGCCAAAGCCAUGGGUGAAAUGAAUUGGAUUCAGCGCAAGAUCUUCCUCUACAAUGUUACUUUUGGGCUUUAUAUGUUGGAUUGGUGGGAACGCUGUACUUUGAAUAUUUUGCUUAUUGUAUUAAUGUGGUUCGUGAUACGAUAUGUUACUGAGUUUUUCAGGAGGUAUGUGUUCAAGCAGUAUAUGUAGAUGGUGACUUGAGAAUUCAUAUUAGUUGCAUUUGGUGUAGCUGACUAGGAAAAUAUCCUAUAGCAGUUUGAUAUGAACUAACUUUGGAGUUUCUUCAAGCUGCCAACAGAAAUUGCACAUCUCAUGCUUGUUGUGCACCAUCAUUAAUUUUAUAUUUUUGACAUUUGCUUGCUUGUUAAAUUGUUUAUGAUGGAUGAUAAUUGCAUUACUACGUUGUAACAAUUUUUUUUUUUUUGAGAAUUU